rnacentral:rRNA from 1 species
GGAAGUAAAAGUCGUAACAAGGUUUCCGUAGGUGAACCUGCGGAAGGAUCAUUACCGAAUUGUCAACACGAGUUGUUGCUGGUCCUCAAAACGGGGGCAUGUGCACGCUCUGUUUACACAUCCACUCACACCUGUGCACCCUCUGUAGUUCUGUGGCAUGGGGGACUCUGUCCUCCUGUUGUGGUCCUACGUCUUUACACACACUCUGUAAUAAAGUCUCAUGGAAUGCAUGACGCGUUUAACGCAAUACAAUACAACUUUCAGCAACGGAUCUCUUGGCUCUCGCAUCGAUGAAGAACGCAGCGAAAUGCGAUAAGUAAUGUGAAUUGCAGAAUUCAGUGAAUCAUCGAAUCUUUGAACGCACCUUGCGCCCUUUGGCUAUUCCGAAGGGCAUGCCUGUUUGAGUAUCAUGAACACCUCAACUCUCAUGGUUUGCCGUGAUGAGCUUGGACUUUGGAGGUCUUGCCGGCCUGCGGUCGGCUCCUCUCAAAUGGAUCAGCUUGCCAGUGUUUGGUGGCAUCAUGGGUGUGAUAACUAUCUACACCUGUGGUUUUCCACCGGAUAACCUUCAGUGAUGGAGGUACGCUGGAGCUCAUAAAUGUCUCUCCUCAGUGAAGACAGCUUUUUGAACGUUUGAUCUCAAAUCAGGUAGGACUACCCGCUGAACUUAAGCA